UAAAGCUCCGGUCCCACCAAAUAAUGAAGGAUGAAUAAUAUCUAAUAACUAUCAUGGGAGAAUGGUGGCUCUAUUAGGCUCUUAUUAGAGGAAGUAUAUCCGGUUAACGAGGCUCACCUCUGAGCAUGGCACUAAUUUCAAGAUGUUCAAAAUUUAGCAACAACACCGUUGGGCAGUUUGUAUACAAGUUACUACGACAACUAACAAGGAUUAUAGAGGCUCAUUCUCAACGGGAACAUA